rnacentral:rRNA from 1 species
UAGGGAAUCUUCCGCAAUGGACGCAAGUCUGACGGAGCAACGCCGCGUGAGUGAAGAAGGAUUUCGGUUCGUAAAACUCUGUUGUUAGAGAAGAACAGCGCAUAGAGUAACUGUUAUGCGUGUGACGGUAUCUAACCAGAAAGCCACGGCUAACUACGUGCCAGCAGCCGCGGUAAUACGUAGGUGGCAAGCGUUGUCCGGAUUUAUUGGGCGUAAAGCGAGCGCAGGCGGUCAAUUAAGUCUGAUGUGAAAGCCCCCGGCUCAACCGGGGAGGGUCAUUGGAAACUGGUUGACUUGAAUGCAGAAGAGGGGAGUGGAAUUCCAUGUGUAGCGGUGAAAUGCGUAGAUAUAUGGAGGAACACCAGUGGCGAAGGCGACUCUCUGGUCUGUAACUGACGCUGAGGUUCGAAAGCGUGGGUAGCAAACAGG